UGACGGUACCUUUCAAGAAAGCUCCGGCUAACUACGUGCCAGCAGCCGCGGUAAUACGUAGGGGGCAAGCGUUAUCCGGAUUUACUGGGUGUAAAGGGAGCGUAGACGGAAGUGCAAGUCUGAAGUGAAAACUUGGGGCUCAACCCCGAGACUGCUUUGGAAACUGUGCUUCUAGAGUGUCGGAGAGGUAAGCGGAAUUCCUAGUGUAGCGGUGAAAUGCGUAGAUAUUAGGAGGAACAUCAGUGGCGAAGGCGGCUUACUGGACGAUAACUGACGUUGAGGCUCGAAAGCGUGGGGAGCAAAACAGGAUUAGAUACCCUGGUAGUCCACGCCGUAAACGGAUGACUUAGGUAGGGUGUGGGGGGUGCAAAGGUACUUCGGUGCCGCAGCCAACGCAAUAAGUAGUCCACCUGGGAGAGUACGUUCGCAAGAAUGAAACUCAAAGGGAAUUGACGGGGGACCCGCACAAGCGGUGGAACAUGUGGUUUAAUUCGAAGCAACGCGAAGAACCUUACCUGGUCUUGACAUCCCGAUGACCGUUCCGUAAUGGGAACUUUUCUUCGGAACAUUGGAGACAGGUGGUGCAUGGUUGUCGUCAGCUCGUGUCGUGAGAUGUUGGGUUAAGUCCCGCAACGAGCGCAACCCCUAUCUUCAGUAGCCAGCAUUUAAGGUGGGCACUCUGGAGAGACUGCCAGGGAUAACCUGGAGGAAGGUGGGGACGACGUCAAAUCAUCAUGCCCCUUAUGACCAGGGCUACACACGUGCUACAAUGGCGUAAACAAAGGGAAGCAAGCAUGUGAGUGUGAGCAAAUCUCAAAAAUAACGUCUCAGUUCGGAUUGUAGUCUGCAACUCGACUACAUGAAGCUGGAAUCGCUAGUAAUCGCGAAUCAGAAUGUCGCGGUGAAUACGUUCCCGGGUCUUGCACUCACCGCCCGUCA
rnacentral:rRNA from 1 species